GCACAGGUAGCAAUACCGGGUGGCGACCGGCGCACGGGUGAGUAACGCGUAUGCAACUUACCUAUCAGAGGGGGAUAACCCGGCGAAAGUCGGACUAAUACCGCAUGAAGCAGGGGCCCCGCAUGGGGAUAUUUGCUAAAGAUUCAUCGCUGAUAGAUAGGCAUGCGUUCCAUUAGGCAGUUGGCGGGGUAACGGCCCACCAAACCGACGAUGGAUAGGGGUUCUGAGAGGAAGGUCCCCCACAUUGGUACUGAGACACGGACCAAACUCCUACGGGAGGCAGCAGUGAGGAAUAUUGGUCAAUGGGCGCGAGCCUGAACCAGCCAAGUCGCGUGAGGGAUGAAGGUUCUAUGGAUCGUAAACCUCUUUUAUAAGGGAAUAAAGUGCGGGACGUGUCCUGUUUUGUAUGUACCUUAUGAAUAAGGAUCGGCUAACUCCGUGCCAGCAGCCGCGGUAAUACGGAGGAUCCGAGCGUUAUCCGGAUUUAUUGGGUUUAAAGGGUGCGUAGGCGGCCUUUUAAGUCAGCGGUGAAAGUCUGUGGCUCAACCAUAGAAUUGCCGUUGAAACUGGGGGGCUUGAGUAUGUUUGAGGCAGGCGGAAUGCGUGGUGUAGCGGUGAAAUGCUUAGAUAUCACGCAG
rnacentral:rRNA from 1 species